rfam:Triticum aestivum genome assembly, contig: Triticum_aestivum_CS42_TGACv1_scaffold_220891_3B
GUACUACUCCCUCCGUCCAGAAAUACUUGUCGGAGGGAUGGAUGUAUCAAGACGUAUUUUAGUUCUAGAUACAUUCAUUUUUAUGCAUUUCUUCGACAAGUAUUUCUGGGCGGAGGGAGUAUGUG